GACGAACGCUGGCGGCGUGCUUAACACAUGCAAGUCGAACGGAAAGGCCCUGCUUUUGUGUGGUGCUCGAGUGGCGAACGGGUGAGUAACAAGUGAGUAACCUGCCCUUGACUUUGGGAUAACUUCAGGAAACUGGGGCUAAUACCGGAUAGGAGCUCCUGCUGCAUGGUGGGGGUUGGAAAGUUUCGGCGGUUGGGGAUGGACUCGCGGCUUAGCAGCUUGUUGGUGGGGUAGUGGCUUACCAAGGCUUUGACGGGUAGCCGGCCUGGGAGGGUGACCGGCCACAGUGGGACUGAGAUACGGCCCAGACUCCUACGGGAGGCAGCAGUGGGGAAUAUUGCACAAUGGGCGGAAGCCUGAUGCAGCAACGCCGCGUGGGGGAUGACGGCCUUCGGGGUGUAAACCGCUUUCGCCUGUGACGAAGCGUGAGUGACGGUAAUGGGUAAAGAAGCACCGGCUAACUACGUG
rnacentral:rRNA from 1 species